CUGCUCUCUCGCCUCGCGGUUGCGGGGUCCGGAAUGGAGAGAGGAGACGGGGGCUGAGCGUUGGCUGCCGGAGACCAGCUGAGGAGAUUUUAGAACACAAACAUAGAUACAUGUGGAUAGCAGGAAAUAACUAAGGUUGAGCAACAAGAUUUAUCUACCUGGAUAUUCAUUGUAGUGUUGUUUAUAUUCGUGAAAAAUUGAAAAGAAACAAAACUAAACUCAAAUGUCUACCAAGAGAGGAAUGAAAUGAAAAUGCAUUUCUCUGAGCCCAGAAAUUGAGUUUCUGAAAUCUGAAUCACUGAGGUGCCUGAAACUCUGCUGUCUAAUGGAUGAAUGGGUUGAAAAUGUGAAGAUAUGAUUACCAUGAAUCCUUUGUACAAGCAAGCUGCUUCUGACCAUGAGAAAAUCAGUAGCAUUCCUGGCACUGUAGAACCAAACCUUGACAAGUUCAGCAGCAUCCUCAGCAUCACAGAACUACGAAGAGGUCAGCAGUAUCCCAGCACCAAAAUCACAGCAUCUCCAAUAGCAUCGAAGCAUUAAAAGGAAUCAGGAAUUCCAGAUUCUUCACAGUAUCAGGGGCCUUGAGGAGGAAGCAGCUGUACUAAUAAAUUCACAGAUAUUCUGGAUUAACUGACUGCAACCUGGAAGAGCAGGAGCACAUUGUUGAGUCUACAGUAGUUUUCUGUUGUGCAGAAAAUGGCAAAUAAAAACAUGUACUUGCUUCAAUCUUCAUAUCCUUAUUAU